GCCCGGGUGGUGGAAUUGGUAGACACGCUACCUUGAGGUGGUAGUGGCGCAAGCUGUGCCGGUUCGAGUCCGGCCUCGGGUACCA
rnacentral:tRNA from 1 species